GGCAAAGUUAAAGGAACAGAAACUUCACUUUUUCCAGGCAACUCUCAAAUAUUCAAGGAUCAAAAAAUAAAGCUGUAUUCUGUUACAAGAGAAUGUAAUUUCUCUCCACUAAAAACAGCGGGCAUUUGAGCUCGAUAAUGAGGAGGCAGAAAACAUGUUAAUCUUGUUUUACAAAUUAAGUUCUGCACCCCAGGAAACCCCUCGGUCCCAGACAAAUGGAGAAGAUUGGGCAUCCUCCUGUAGGAGUUUACAAGCUGAUCAUGUUGGGAAAACCAUGUCUUUUAAAAGAAUCCAUGAUUCACUUUGAACAAAUCAGAGACCGACACAAACUAGCAAGUCUUCUAAGCCACAAUGAGACAGAAGUCCACAUUUUCAGUCCUCCAUUUGAGAAACUGUCUUCCUAAAUUCAUUGUUCUUCCUGAAGCACGCUCCCGACUGAAUCACCUGCACCCCAAUUACUGCCUCGGGCUCUGCUUCUAAGGAACUUCAACAGCAAUAAAGUCAAAGACCCUUAGAAAUUUUUCUAGAUGUGGUGUGACUGGCUAUAAUUCCAAGCUUUUUUGGUACUAGCAUUUUGUGUCUUUUGAAUGUAUCACUACAUGGAAAUGGCCUUUAGUGAUAAAGCAAGAAGGGCUGGACUAUUGAUAUUAAAAUGAACUUCCCUGAGUGCCAUCAAAUUAUCUUACCUUUUCUCUCCUUCUUACACGCUGUUCCCCACGGUUAGAACAAUUUUCAGCUUAUUUUUUGUCUAGAAAAUUUUAACUUAUCCUCAGUUUAGAUUCCUUUAAGGAGCCCUCCCAGAUCUCUCCCCACCCUGCCUUCCAAAAUUUAUGUUAGGUGUCUCUCAUGUAGUCCUGUAAUACAGUACAUUCUCUAGACAUGAUAGAU
rnacentral:lncRNA from 10 species